CCAAUAGCGUAUAUUAAAGUUGUUGCAGUUAAGAAGCUCGUAGUUGAAUUUCGGGAUCAGUUGGUCGGUCGUGCCUCGGUACGUACUGGUCAAAUUGAUUCCUACCUUCUGACGAACCACGAUGUCAUUAAUUUGGUGUCGCGGGAAAUCAGGACUGUUACUUUGAAAAAAUUAGAGUGUUUAAAGCAGGCUCGCGCUUGAAUACAUUAGCAUGGAAUAAUGAAAUAGGACGUUUGAUUCUAUUUUGUUGGUUUCUAGGAUCGACGUAAUGAUUAAUAGGGAUAGUUGGGGGCAUUAGUAUUCAAUUGUCAGAGGUGAAAUUCUUGGAUUUAUUGAAGACUAACUACUGCGAAAGCAUUUGCCAAGGAUGUUUUCAUUAAUCAAGAACGAAAGUUAGGGGAUCGAAGACGAUCAGAUACCGUCGUAGUCUUAACCAUAAACUAUGCCGACUAGGGAUCGGAUGAUGUUAAUUUUUUAAUGACUCAUUCGGCGCCUUACG
rnacentral:rRNA from 1 species